rnacentral:rRNA from 1 species
UACGUAGGGUGCAAGCGUUGUCCGGAAUUAUUGGGCGUAAAGGGCUCGUAGGCGGUUUGUCGCGUCUGCCGUGAAAGUCCGGGGCUCAACUCCGGAUCUGCGGUGGGUACGGGGCAGACUAGAGUGAUGUAGGGGAGACUGGAAUUCCCGGUGUAGUAGUGAAAUACGUAGAUAUCGGGAAGAACACCGAUGGCGAAGGCAGAUCUCUGGGCCGUAACUGACGCUGAGGAGCGAAAGCAUGGGGAGCGAACAGGA